rnacentral:rRNA from 1 species
CCUUGUUGCUUCGGCGGGCCCGCCGAUCAGGCCGCCGGGGGGCAUCCGCCCCCGGGCCCGCGCCCGCCGAAGACACCAU